UGCAAGUCGAGCGGUAACAGGAGUAGCUUGCUACUCGCUGACGAGCGGCGGACGGGUGAGUAACGCGUAGGAAUCUGCCUAAUAGUUGGGGAUAGCCCGGGGAAACCCGGAUUAAUACCGAAUACGCUCUACGGAGGAAAGCAGGGGAUCUUCGGACCUUGCGCUAUUAGAUGAGCCUGCGUGAGAUUAGCUAGUUGGUGAGGUAAUGGCUCACCAAGGCGACGAUCUCUAGCUGGUCUGAGAGGAUGAUCAGCCACACUGGGACUGAGACACGGCCCAGACUCCUACGGGAGGCAGCAGUGGGGAAUAUUGCACAAUGGGCGCAAGCCUGAUGCAGCCAUACCGCGUGUGUGAAGAAGGCCUUAGGGUUGUAAAGCACUUUCAGUAGUGAGGAAAGGGGUGUAGUUAAUACCUGCAUCCUGUGACGUUAGCUACAGAAGAAGCACCGGCUAAUUCCGUGCCAGCAGCCGCGGUAAUACGGAAGGUGCGAGCGUUAAUCGGAAUUACUGGGCGUAAAGCGCGCGUAGGUGGUUCAGUCAGUCAGAUGUGAAAGCCCCGGGCUCAACCUGGGGAACUGCACCUGAUACUGCUGGACUUGAGUACGGUAGAGGGUAGUGGAAUUUCCUGUGUAGCGGUGAAAUGCGUAGAUAUAGGAAGGAACACCAGUGG
rnacentral:rRNA from 1 species